GUAGUCCGAUGUGCUCCUCGGUCGAAAUCGGACAGCGAGCGGGUGUCUUGUGGAGUCCGCGCAGUAACAAAUUAUGUUCACUUCAGUAUUGUGUCAUAAUGAGGAUUUUUUACAUCUUAUUGCACCAUAAAAGAAAUUCGUUCCUGAGGAGUUAUCAAGUUUACGAAAGAACGAGCUUUAUAAAUUUUGUAUGCCGUCUAGGCUAAUAUUUUUUGCUCCGUGUUAGGCAAAGCUUCUCGGUUAAGUUAAACUAACUUAACUAAUUUGCUUGCUUCCAUUUGUCAGAAGGAUGAAAUGAAAAAUGACUAUAUAAUGCAUGCUACUGCAGAAAACUAAUGUAGCUACUGUAAGAAAGAUGGAAGAGAAGUUUUUUUUCUUUCUAAAUUUUAAGGCAUCACAUCAGAAAGAAAUUGAUGACCCUCCAGAGAAGUGUUUAAAAGACAUCCACAUAAUGUAUAAGAGUUAGUGAAGAGAUAAUUGGGGGGGAUAUCAAUUGUUUAUGAUUCUUUAUGGUUAUUUUUUAUUUUUGUUUAAUUUUUUAUACAUUGUUUCUGUUAACACAGUCUAGUCUUGAAGCAACUGAGCAUUUCACUACAUAUUAUACUGAGUAUAACUAUAUGCAAGGCUGGUCUACAUGCGCUACUGAGGGACACUGACUUAGCCAGCUGAUUUCAUUUCGCAGAACAUACUGUAUACCAUCUGAGGCACAGUGGAGGUUGAGAACCUUUUGCAUUCCCUACUGUCUUCCCCAGCUCAUCUGGCCACCAUGUGGCUGAAUGUGCUAAGUCAGGAGCUGAGUACCUAGCAUCCCUGAUCAUUCUGGCUUUGAGGCUGGCCUUGACUAUGUUGGAUAUUUUGGUUAUAUGGUGCCCCGUGUCUGUUAUAUUUUUGUGUUCAUGUAUUUCUGUACUGGUUCUUGAUUUAUGCUUGUGUUUUAUAGUGAUGACCUGUAAUCUUUGUGCCUAAUGUCUCCUAGUGUGAGUCCUUGGUGCUUGUUAAUGACCCUCAUCUGUUUCCUAUAGGUCCUAGUACAGAGGUGGGGAACCUGUUAGCCAAUAACAGUGGGUCCAUAGGACUGGAGUUGAGAACCACUGCUUUAUUACUGACACACUGAGAGGUCAUCGCAAAAACCUGAAUCCACUGCGGCCUCCAUGGAUCAGCCUCGCCGCCCCUGUCCUAGUAUCUUGUGUUUGAGACUGGCUGAAGACCCCCUGUUAUACCUAGAGCAGUGUUUCCCAACCUGGCCCUUGGGGACCCCCAGACAGUACAUGUUUUUGCUCCCUUCCAGCUCCCUGCCAGUUAGGUCGUCUACCCCCUACUACAAAUUGAGACAAGGACGGGGAAACCUGUGGUUCCGGCUUUUUGUGGAAGUAUUGUUUCUUGGUGUGGCCUUGUCCUUUGUCUUUUGUGAGUGGUAUGGAUUUUGGCCCGGUGAUAGUGAUCUGAAGGAUUGCCAAGAAUCUGAUCAUUGUUGGAGAACUGAAGAAAAAGAAGGGUUGACCCACCAUCAUGACAGAGACAGUCAUAAAAUAGGAGAGAGUCACAGCCUCCAUAAUAACUCCAGCCACCAUAUUCACGAGCACAAUAACCCCAUGUAUCAUAAUGGUGUCAUCAUCACUGACUCCAUGACCUGCUCUAGGGCUGGCAAGGACAUACUUGAAGAUGGAGGAAAUUUGGUGGAUGCAGGGAUAGCAUCAUUGCUUUGUCUAGGAGUUACCCAUCCACACACAGCAGGUGUAGGUGGAGUGUUUUCAGGCGUCCUUUACAACCACACAACUGGAAUUUCAAAAGCAAUACGUGUCAAAUUUCAUGGUACAUCAUCAACCACCCACGGCAUCCCAGCCACUGUGCAGGGCAUCAGAUAUCUACACUCUCAGUUUGGUGGCUUUAAAUGGCAGAAAUUGUUUGUCAGCGCCAUACAACUCGCAAAGGAUGGAUUCCCCAUAGACAACAGUCUUGCACUUGCUUUAAAAUCAAAUGAAGUAAAAAUAUGUAGUUCAAAACUGUCUGAGCUUUUUUGUCACAGAAAUGGGACAGUAAAGGCCUUGGGUUCUGUUGUCACUAAUCAGAGGUUAUCUGAACUUUUGCAGAGCAUCAGUGUAAAUGAUUCCUCUUUGUUAGAAAGUCUUGCUGUGAAAUUGGCUGAAGACCUUCCUUUGACAGAAAGGCAAGAUUUUGUGACAAAUAUGCAGCAGUGUCAAGGAGAGCUCAACGCCCCUUUCACUCUCCGUGAAAAAGAAUAUACUAUUUUUGCAUCUGCUUCAUCACAUGCUGCCAGGAUUAUAUUCAAUUCAAUAAAGGGAAUCAGAGAGCAGAACACAUCACUGUGGAGUGAUGCUUCUUUCUUCACCAAUCUGUUAAACAAAACCAAGUUAACCUAUAAAAGUACUGUGGAAAAUGAAAACCUUAAAGAUAUAGCUGGCUUAAGUAUGGUGGGUAGCUUUAUUGGCAUACUAGACAACACUGGUAAUAUUUUAGUAAUCUCUUCUUCACUCAACAGUUCUUUUGGAUCAAUGCAACUCUUACCUUCCACCGGAGUCAUUUUGAGUGAUUUUAACAUGCAUCUAGAUCCCCUGGUGUCCCAGUGGAGCUGCCCAUUACUAAUAAAGUUAAAGGAUAACAAAAGUAUUGAUAAUCGGGAGGAAGAGGAAGAAGAAGAUGAAGAGCCAACCAUUUUGGUGACUGGUGGUCUAUCUGCUCCUUUUGUUGCUACCCAGAUUAUCAUUAACAGGUUAUACUUUGGAAAGCAGGCUGUUACUAGCCCAUUUCAUCCAGAUGUGAAAGGCUCAGAGCCAUUAUUAGCUUGCAUCUCUGCCAUUUUGGAUACCUCUGACAAUUAUAAGCUGUUGAUAGAAACAGAAAAUAAGUUGCAAGUUAUAAAUAAAUGCCCUGACAAAUCCCUGGCUCUCAUAAUGCAGAAACAUGUUGGCCAUGUGAUAGCCUAUGCAUUUCCGGGAGGUGAAGCUUAUACUGAUGGAUACUGAUGAAUUCCACUAGUUGAUAUAUGUAGAAAGAAGGAAUGCUGGCUAGGUGUCAUUUGUUGCUGUUAUAUAUGGAUGCUUUUAGACUGUGUCGCUUUUUCAGCUAGCUCAUAUAAAAACAAGGAGGCAAAGGACUUCCUUUGAGAAAGAGCAUUUGGAGGUCUAUAACAGCAUUUGGAGGUCUAUAACAGCAUUUGGAGGUCCAUAACAGCAUUUGGAGGUCUAUAACAGCAUUUGGAGGUCCAUAACAGUUUAUACUCAAUGCUUUUAUUUACAGUUUGACAUAGAAACAUACUGCAUUACUGAAAUCAAGAAUAUUACACAGCAGUAUAAAAACAUUAAAACACUCAAGUGAAAAUUAGAAAAAAACUUAAAAAUGGUUUGAUCUGAAUGUGGAAAUUUAGUGCAAUGUGCCAUGACACGUAAACAAAUGCUACCUCACAGGAUAUGUCUGGUUUUGGCAGGUAUUAAGUAUUUCAAAAUGAAGCACCCGUUUUAUAUAUUUCUAAAUUUUAACUUUGAAAAGCAAAUAAAUUAUAACAAAAAUAUGAAGGCUGUCCAUGCACAUUAACCUCUGAGGUACUACUGUUUGGAAGCAGGAGAGUGAAUGCCUGCCAUAUUGUUAUGGGAUGCUUUAAUGCAAAAAUUAUGAAUUAAUUUUUUAAAGUAACAUUUCUAAUAGAAAGCUGCAUGCCUGCUCUGCUAUUUUAACAACUGAGAUUAAUAUUUUAAAUAUCUUUGGAUUAUGAAAAAGUAAAUUUCAAAAGGCUUUAACAUUUACAGAAGACAUUGAAAUUCAUGCUUUUUUCUCUUUUUUGCAUUUUCAUAAGCCCACUUGCUCUUUCUGAUUUUAUACUGUUGAAUUACACAUAUGUUCUCAUCUAAAUGGUCUCUUAGUCAUACAAACUGAAUGAAAGUCCCUCUCUGUGUUAGAAUAAGUUUGUCUGUUGUAAAUUACUUCCUUACCUGUAAUUGAGUUCCACAUUGGAAAUAAAAGCCAUAUGGUUUGUGAAAUAA